GACGAACGCUGGCGGCGUGCUUAACACAUGCAAGUCGAGCGGUAAGGCCCUUUCGGGGGUACACGAGCGGCGAACGGGUGAGUAACACGUGGGUGACCUGCCCUUAGCUCUGGGAUAAGCCUGGGAAACUGGGUCUAAUACCGGAUAUGACUCCAUGACGCAUGUUGUGGGGUGGAAAGCCUUGUGCGGCUAGGGAUGGGCCCGCGGCCUAUCAGCUUGUUGGUGGGGUGAGGCCUACCAAGGCGACGACGGGUAGCCGGCCUGAGAGGGCGACCGGCCACACUGGGACUGAGACACGGCCCAGACUCCUACGGGAGGCAGCAGUGGGGAAUCUUGCGCAAAUGGGCGAAAAGCC
rnacentral:rRNA from 1 species